rnacentral:lncRNA from 1 species
UUCUAAUGUCACAACUUCCAAAGCUGUCGGAAACCUGCAUUUAAGCGCACCUGUCAAAGUCCUAUGGUUGAUUAUAAAACCACCUUUUAAAGAGGACCAAAACAAGACAAUUGUCUGUGGAUGACAAAAGUCUUAGGACAGCCACUAUUAAAGUCAAAAUUGAUAAUGAAAUUUGGUUAUUUCUGUGGCAUAUAACAAUGUUAUGUAACAAUUUUCACUAUUAAUAACAUACACUAAGUCAUAUCAGAAUUAUAGAACUUUCUUAUAAUUUUGGAACACAUACCAAUAACAUAUUUAUACAAAUACAGCCCAAAGUUAGCCAAACAUUAUUUCAUAUUUGACAAUGCUUCCUGUAUGAUUUUUAUACCAAAUAAGCCAAAUCUCACCUUUACAUUAGUGUACUAUUAAUGCUAAACCCUAAUCUUAAUAAAACCUUAUAGACAAAUGUAUUUAAUCUUAAUCAGUUUGACCAUAAGGUAAGAUUCUUUUUUUGAGACAGAGUUUUGCUCUUGUUGCCCAGACUGGAGUGCGGUGGCACAAUCUUGGCUCACUGCAACCUCUGCCUCCUGGGUUCAAGCAAUUCUCCUGCCUCAGUCUCCUGAAUAGCUGGGAUUGCAGGUGCCCACCACCAUGCCCAGCUAAUCUUUGUAUUUUUAGUAGAGACAGGGUUUCACCAUGUUGGCCAGGCUGUUCUUGAACUCCUGACCUCAGGUGAUCCACCUGCCUGGGCCUCCCAAAGUGCUGGGCUUACAGGCAUGAGCCACCAUGCCCGGCCCCUAAGGUAAGAUUCUUAUACCUUUUAUAACCCUUUACAAUUUUUUUUUGUUAAAGAGUGGAUUAUAAGCAGGAUUUUGCUUUAAGAAAAACCUGUUAUGUUUUUAUUCCAAUGUUUAAUUUACAGGAAAACUGAAUAAUACCCCUUUAACUUUAGCCAAUGUCCAUACACAGAAUUUCUUUUACAAUUAAUUUUUUACAAACCUUCCACAACUUGUUCAAACCUUUAGCUUGAUCCUAACUUAAAACAAUACUUUAACCCUUUAAUCUAGGCAGAAACAUCCACAUUCCCAUGACUUCUUAUAAUCUUUACCAAAAGUAUAUUCUACUUUCCUUUUCGCCUUGGGUGUAGAACUAUUUCUUGCGUAGUCUCAAAUACGGUGUUAGCUCUUAGCACCUUUUGCUUUUGGUGAAAAUCUUGGUAAGUCAGGGAUUUUUCAUUAUGUGCCAGGUGUGGGGCCUAGCCUGGGACCCACCAGACAGAAGUGCAGAUGAGGGCGGACCCUCCCGCAUGGCUAGGGUGUGGCUCUCCACGUGUCCCCAGGCCUUAGCUAGAAUCUAAUGUCCCCAAGCUAGGUAAAUUGGACAAUUUUCAAAAGUCAAAUAAGCAGUUUAUGACCUUAAGGCAUUGAGUAAACUUCAUAUCCUACCUGCAUAAUUUAGACCAAAUGUCUUUAUUUUACCAAUAAUCUUUAAAACUUUUUAUUUCCCAAAGGUUACUUAAGUCACAUGAGCUAAAUAAAAGUUAUUACACUAUUUACUUUUCUGACAAAAUAUUUGACUUAAGCUGUUAUUGUAAUUAAACCAAUUAAUCAAAACUCUUUUAUAUUACACACACAACACAUAUAAAUAGAAGACGAAGGACUCAUCCCCUAAGACAGGAAUUGGGCCCUAAACCCGGGCCGCCAUUGUGAAAAAAGAAAGCACAACCACAUGGUUACAAGUUCAAGCUCCCAGGGACCUACAAGACAAGAGGGAAACCUCAUCCAGUUUCGUUUUUUUUUCAGGGACCUGCAGCAACGUUUACAACUGACCAGUUUGCUGGGGCAUCUUGAACAGUGGGCUUAUGGGAGUCCCACUCUCCAUGGUGGUUCCCACAUCCACUCAGGGGUGUCUGGGUUCUCAGGGAUACCUGCUUCUUGCUGGGCACCGUGGCCUGGACUUACCACCUGGCCUCCAGGGUUCAGGCCGUGGACAUCUGCCCUGAAGUAGCCUGUGGGGACUGUCACGCCACAGUUAAUGUCCUGGGUCCUUGGCAUCAAGUCUGUAAAGCUGUCUGCUUUCUCAACAGCACUGUGUGGGAGUUGGCUGGGCCUCGGCGAGUGUUGCCUGUCUCUGUCGUCACUAGGAUGUUAGCGGGAAAUGGUGGCGUUCUCUCCACGCAGGUGCUGCUUUGCCUGUGGAUCAUGUUUUUCUUCUCCCUAUUGAUCAGCACACAUCACAAAUUUGAUUUGAGACGGAGUCUUGCUCUGUCACCCAGGCUAGAGUGCAGUGGCGCGAUCUUGGCUCACUGCAACCUCUGCCUCCCGGGUUCAAGUGAUUCUCCUGCCUCGCCUCCCGAGUAGCUGGGAUUACAGGCACCCGCCACCGCACCCGGCUAACUUUUGUAUUUUCACUAGAGACAGAGUUUCACCAUCUUGGCCCGGCUGGUCUCGAACCCCUGACCUCGUGAUCCGCCUGCCUCAGCCUCCCAAAGUGCUGGGAUUACAGGUGUGAGCCACUGGGCCCAGGCUAUUUUUUAAUUAAGUUAAUAGUAAGUUAUAAACAAUACAUUAUAAAUAAUAUAAAUUACAAAUAAUACAUUAAUAAAUUAAUAAUACAAUUUUUUUAAUUUUAAUUUUUAACAUGUUAGGCAUUGAGGUAAGUACAGUGGAUAAACACCCAUCACGCACAGAAAAAAGGAAUGAGGAAGGCACGUUUGCCACACAUCUGCUCCCUGCUCUGGGAGCCCUCCCUGUUCCUUGUGGUUUAAUCUUCUAGAACUCUGAUGGGGGCAUUACUGUGAGUUUUGCUUCUCCAGAAGGCUUCUUCUUAAAGCUUUCUGAGCACUGGUACUCACGAAACUCUCCCCUGGUGAAAUGAAAACACACACAGGCAGGAAGUGAGCCAGUUCUCAACUUGAGUGGCUUCUCCCCAAUGCAUGCUUUUUAAAACUUCCAGCGUUUUCUAAUCAGAUCUGGGCAAUAUUGUGGCAUCACCUCCUGCAUCCGCCUUUACCCUCCCCAUCCUGUUCUUUGUCCUAAAAAAGGCUGUGGGACCAGCUGGUCUCAGAGCCCAGGUGGAGCCUCAGCUCCCCUGCAACCUGUGUUUUUCCGAGGGUGCCGCCUGGCAGGGCCUGCGUCAGGGUCACCCUGGCAGGACCAGAGGUCAGAGGUCACCCUGGCCAGACCAGAGCCUCGGAGGUCCCUGGGCUGCAGUGAGGGAGAUCAGAGGUCGUGGGCUGGGGCCAGCCAAGAAGAGUUGGGGGCAGCAGGGAGCGCAGUCUGGCCCUUGACAUUCCCACCUGCUUGUCUGCUCCACAGGACAGUGGUCAGGAGGGCCCGGGAGUGAGUGUGCAGGGUCCUGGGUGGGCUCCACAUGCAUCUCAUGGGGCAGCAGGACCCCGAUGAGGGCACCCACAGGGUGGGAGGGUGGAGAGCUCUGCUAACCAAGAUGGGGAGGCCCGGGUCAGGGCCAGCUCUGCCUCCGAGGCUAUAUCCAGCAGCCUUUGGCCUUGCCGUGUGAGCUCGUGGAAGCCCAUGCAGUGUGUGCCCCUCUGGUUGUAUCUGGUGAGGCCUUGUACAGGGAUGAGCUCGGACCUGAGUUUCAGUCAGCAGAAAAAUAAGUUUCUGGAGGACUUGAUUCUUUUCAGGGCAUUCAGUUCUGUGUUUCGCCUGUACCCAAGAUGAGAUUUCUAAUACAGUGAUGUGUUUAAAAUUAACCAUAUCUCCAGGGCAGCAUCCAACUGUGAGCCUUGGUGAAGAAGGUCCUGGAGACGGGAGUGAAUGGGGUGGGGCCAUCCCUGGACACACAGGAGGUUCCUGGGCCCUGGGGAUGUGUCCGUGGGUGCUGAGGAGAUGAGGGGUGCAUGCUGUCUGGGUUCUUUUCUCCCCGCUCCAUCUCUUGCAAGGUGAGGAGGGGUCUGCUGUUGAUUCCUGUCCUGCCUGUGGUGCUGAAGCUCCCCUCAAGCUGGGCUUUCUCAGCAGGGAGAGUUUCUUCAUUGCUUGUAGAAGUUUAUGCUUCCCUGCUGUAGUCUGGGCAAAUUGCUCCCCAAAGGACAUGAGAGCUGAGGCUGUGUUUUUAGAGAUAGGGAGCAGCUACAGGGACUUAGCUUCUUAAUGAAUUAACUCACAAAUCUCAGCAGCUCCUGGCGAUUAGUCAAGAUAUGCAGAGCUGAUGGCAGGGAGGACACGAGGUGGCUCAAAGGGAACUAAGCUUUGCGUGUGAAUUUAGGGUGUGAGGCUAAGAGCCCUACAGGCAGGCAGAGGAAGGUGUUGGAGGGAGGAGAGGCCGGUAUAGGACCUUCGCCUUGAAGAAAGCACCCAGGUAAGGCUGGGAAGUGUUGGGAGAGAGCUUUAGUUGAUCAUUUUGUUUUUGGAUGUUUUCUGAUGGUCCUCUAUGGCUUUGGAAAAUGGAGAGAAGACAGAGAGGCGUAGGCACUGAAGGCUGCAGCUGUGAUUGAGGAUCACGACGCCUGUUGGGGCUGCUCACCUGCCCAGGCCUGGGUGAGGAGGUGCUGGGGCCUGGCUGCACACACGUUCCUGCCCCAGAACUCAGUUGGGGGCUCGGAGCAGGAGAAGCUGCACACGGUGGAUGAAGACCUGAUCAUUGAAGUUCACCAGUUAUUUUUCUCAAGAAUGUGAAUAACAAUGGGAUUUGCACUCAUUAUAUUUUUAGAAUGGCUUCGCAUAAUUUUCAGUUGGGCGUGGUGGCUCACGUCUGAAAUCCCAGCACUGUGGGAGGCAGAGGCGGGCAGAUCACGAGGUCAGGAGUUCGAGACCAGCCUGACCAACAUGGUGAAACCCCGUCUCUACUAAAAAUACAAAAAUUAGCCAGCUGUGGUGGUGGGUGCCUGUAAUCCCAGCUACUCAGGAGGCUGAGGCAGGAGAAUUGUUUGAACCCAGGAGGCGGAGGUUGCAGUGAGCCAAGAUCAUGCCACUGCACUCCAGCCUGGGUAACAGAGUGAGACUCUGUCUCAAAAAAAUAAAAAUAAAUAAAAAUAAACAAAUUAAUUAAUUUUAAAAAAGAAAUGACCUAUUUGGAAACCAAAUUUUCUUUUUGGAAGGCCCCCAUUUUGUGUUCAGUGAAAAAUUAGUUGGCAAGACAUGGACUUCUAAUCAAGUUAUUUUUGUAGUUGUGCUCAGAAUAUCUGUGGAAUAUUAGCUGACGCAAAGUAGAUUUUUCACGUUAGAUAUUGGAAUAAAGAGAGUUGCUCCUUA